rnacentral:rRNA from 1 species
UGCACUAUUUGACGUUACCUACAGAAGAAGCACCGGCUAACUCCGUGCCAGCAGCCGCGGUAAUACGGAGGGUGCGAGCGUUAAUCGGAAUUACUGGGCGUAAAGCGCAUGCAGGCGGCCUGUUAAGUCAGAUGUGAAAGACCCGGGGCGUUAACAUCGGAAUUGCAUUUGAAACUGGCAGGCUAGAGUCUUGUAGAGGGGGGUAGGAAUUUCAGGUGUAGCGGUGAAAUAGCGUAGAGAUCUGAAGGAAUACCAGUGGCGAAGGCGGCCCCCUCGGACAAAGACUGACGCUCAGAUGCGAAAGCGUGGGGAGCAAACAGGAUUAGAUACCCCUGGUAG